rnacentral:lncRNA from 1 species
GUAAUCUUAAAGAGUAAACACUUGACUAUAACUCCAAAAAUGUGGUAUAUGCCUUCAUUAACCUAUGCAAAUCCUGCUGUGCCUUCAUGCACUUCACAAACAUUUGUUAGUUCUUAAUGUGUGUAGGUCAUUGUUCUAAGCUCUAUGUGAGUAUGUGUAGUGGAGUGGUGGGUGGGUACAAAACCUUUUCACCUCCAAGUCCUUUUAAUUUAAUCUAGGAUUGACUUUUAUACUCCAGUAACUAUAAUGUGGACAGUGCACAUCAUCUUCUGAACUAAAAGUCAGGAUGGUCUAAUUAUAAGCAAUUUAAUUUUCCUAAUCUGUUUCCCCAUCUACAAAAUUAUAACAAAAAUAACACUUACUACUUAGAAUGGUUUUGAGUAUUAAAUAAUACAAUCCAAACAAAGCACUUAGCUCAGUAUCUAUUAUUAAAAAACAUACUCAGUGGUAUUAGCUACUAUUAUCUUGAUAGGCAGUGUGCCAAUUUCAAUCAUUUCAAUGAUUUUAAAAUCUAUUAUCUGUGGAGUCUUCUAUGCAAAUAUUUUCUUCUUCCUAAAUUCUUGUUAUUCUUCUAUGAUAAAAUGGACUUCUCAUCACCUCUAUUCCAGUGCAUCUUCACCUCUGCCCAGGAGGGAUUUUUCUAGCAGAAUAACACUACAUGUCAUACAUGAGGAUUCUGACUUUUAUUCUUAGGUAAGAACACAAAGAACAAAGACAAGUAGCAGCAAAAAGGGCCUGUCUUCUAAUCCGGCUGCGUCCGGGCCUCAAGAAGGACACUUGUGCAGGACACACACCACUCAAUCCUCAGAGACGCUCAGAACCUCACUUGGGCCUGAAGUGCAUCUGAUUGGUGGCAUUGUUCUUCAUUUCCGUCUUCAGCAUCCACUUCGAUUUCAUCCUCUGGACAUACUGAUGUCCCGCUCACGCAGAAGAGCUGCUCCUGUGCUGCCGGUCCAUCCCAGGGCUCUGUACUGCUGCAGUAUCCGGCCCACAGGCUUUUACCAAGAAAAAAGCCUGGUGUCUUGGGAUGUCAGAACCUAGAUCACUGUAGGAUAACCUAACCAUGAAGACAUUGAGAAAGUAGUACCUGUACCAAACAUUGCCAUAACUCACAUGUGGAUAUUUUGGUUCAGGAAGUAUACUGGGGUGACCCUUCACUUUCAAUGUCUUAUGACAACAGAAGAACACAAUAUUUAAAACUGAGACUCGGGUAGCCUGGGUGGCUCAGUGGUUUGGUGCAGCCUUAGGCUCAAGGUGUGAUCCUGGAGACCUGGGAUCGAGUCCCAUGUAGGGCUCCCUGCAUGGAGCCUGCUUCUCCCUCUGCCCAUGUCUCUGCCUCUCUUCUCUCUGUGUCUCUCAUGAAUAAAUAAAUAAAAUCUUAAAAAAAAAUAAAGCUG